GUCUCAAAGAUUAAGCCAUGCAUGUGUAAGUAUAAAUAUUUAACUUUGAAACUGCGAAUGGCUCAUUAUAUCAGUUAUAGUUUAUUUGAUGAAAAGUACUACUUGGAUAACCGUAGUAAUUCUAGAGCUAAUACAUGAUAAAAUCCUCGACUUUGAAGAGGUGUAUUUAUUAGAAUGAAACCAAUAGACUUCGGUCUGUUUGUGAGUAAUAAUAACUAAUCGUAUCGCAUGCUUAGGUAGCGA
rnacentral:rRNA from 1 species